AAAUUGAUCACACAUUUGAACAUAUUUAUAAAUAAAAAAUUGAUAUGUUAUCUGCAUCAUCAAACUAUCAUGUACUCUACUGAAAUUCAUUGAAACAUUGGAGGGCCUCAUUUGUAAUUUUGAAAACUACAUAGCAGCAAACACCUCAAUUAUUUCCUGCAACUCCUCUUUCCCGCCACUCAAACCCAAAUCCCAUCUCCCAAAAUCUUCAUUUCCCCCUGCCAAAUCCCCAAUUUCAAUCCCUAUCCACUCGGACCACAGCUCUGAGCUGGUAAAAAUCCCGUCUUUAACCCUCAAGCCGGCGAAAUUGCGGCGCCGGAGCUCGUUCAACGCCCAAUACCCGCAAGACCCAGCUUGUUUCUGAUUCUCCCGACGGAAAUGAGAUCAUCGGUGGGAGGGACUGGACGACGUCGUUUCAGCUGUUUGCUUUCUGGGCUGGACACUUCUUUUUUUUUAUGGUGAUGAUGAAAUUGGAUUCUUGAAUUCGGUAGUAAUCUGAUUAUCUGACUGUGUGUAGCGUAAUUUUGUGGAAUUGGGCUUAAUUUUAGGUCACGGAUAUGUAUUUUGUGAAAAAGCUGCUGAAUAGAACCAAGUCUUGGUAGCUUUGUGGUAUAUAAUGGGUUUAUAAUAUGCUGCUCCUCCCUACUGCCAGAAGGUAAAAAUCCACUAUAUUUGUUGAAUCUCGACUUUCUUGGAGGAUUGCGAGUAGUUGGUGAGAGAAACCUUUGAUUAUCUUUUGGUGAAAAUGUCCAACAAAAGAAUUUCAAUGAAAUGUUUUGUGCUCAGUGAUGUUACUGUUUAUGCUUUUCUAGGUGGUUUCUUCUUGCGAUUGCUAUUACCCCAUUAGUUAGGUGAAAUGUCCCAAAAAACAAUUUCAAUAAACUGUUUUAGUGUUGUUUCUGCUAUAUGUGUUCUUGUUCGUAAAUUUCUUGGUGCCAAAAAUUUGAAGAGGAGAACCUAUGCUUAUCUUUUACCAGUAUUUUAGUAUGUUAAGCUCUACAUUUUCCUAUCGUGAUGGUUUGAUUUGUCUUUCAAUCAUAGGUGUACAUUUCGAUGUUUUUGUAAGGGCUUGAGGUUAGCAAUCUUUGCCUAUCAUGGUGGUGCUUUUUUUGCCUUUUUGCAGCUCGAAAAGCAAGAUUCCAAUUUGGCAAUUCGUUGUCCUGUCAUGCUUCGAGGUUAGUUGGCUGCAGGGAUGGUGAAAACGGCUCAUGCAGUAUCAUCCGGUGGUGAUGCGUGGAAGGAAUUUUACCAGUAUCUUCGAGGAAGCAAAUUUGGAUGGAAAAGGCUCUUGGCUUCUUGCUCUCUCACUAGUCCCAUUCUUAGGUCCUUCCAUCUAUCUUCUCCUCCGGCCACAAUUGUCUGUUGCUCGAGAGGCUACCUCGGACGAGGCCUUGUGCUCUCGAUGGAAGAAGAAGUAUACCUGGUGAGAUGUAGAGAGGUUUGAAGUUGAAGUUGAAGGGGUCUAUAUAUAGUGCAACGAAGGCGACAUGUUCUUCAUUAGUCUUUAAUUAGUGAAGAAGAUUUUGAUUAUUUUAGUUUGUUCAUAACAUAUUUUGAUUAUUUGAAAAUGGUAAUUUGAUGACAUGAUAUGUAUACAUUUUGUGAUUCUAAUAAACUCUCAAAGUUCUAUAACAA